rnacentral:rRNA from 2 species
GCGAUUAUCGGCGUUAAUAUAUGACCCGAUUAGCAGCUUCCGGGAAACCAAAGUUUUUCGUUUCCGGGGGAAGUAUGGUUGCAAAGCUGAAACUUAAAGGAAUUGACGGAAGGGCACCACCAGGAGUGGAGCCUGCGGCUUAAUUUGACUCAACACGGGAAAACUCACCCGGCCCGGACACCGUAAGGAUUGACAGACUGAGAGCUCUUUCUUAAUUCGGUGGGUGGUGGUGCAUGGCCGUUCUUAGUUGGUGGAGCGAUUUGUCUGGUUAAUUCCGAUAACGAACGAGACUCUGGCCUAUUAAAUAGACGAUAUAUUUAAAAGUAUAUCGCGCUUCUUAGAGGGACAAGCGGCGUCUAGCCGCAUGAAAUAGAGCAAUAACAGGUCUGUGAUGCCCUUAGAUGUCCGGGGCUGCACGCGCGCUACACUGAAAGAAUCAGUGUGCGUUACGCCUAGUUCGGAAGAACCGGGUAACCCAAGUAAAUUCUUUCGUGCUUGGGAUAGGGAAUUGCAAUUAUUUCCCUUAAACGAGGAAUUCCCAGUAAAUGCGGGUCAUAAGCUCGCGUUGAUUACGUC